rnacentral:piRNA from 1 species
UGGACUUCCUGCGAUUUUGUGCUCUAGA